rnacentral:rRNA from 1 species
UACGGAGGGUGCAAGCGUUAAUCGGAAUUACUGGGCGUAAAGCGCGCGUAGGCGGCUUGGUAAGUCGGAUGUGAAAGCCCUGGGCUCAACCUGGGAACUGCAUUCGAUACUGUCAAGCUAGAGUGUGGGAGAGGGUAGUGGAAUUCCCGGUGUAGCGGUGAAAUGCGUAGAUAUCGGGAGGAACAUCAGUGGCGAAGGCGGGUCUCUGGGCCGAUACUGACGCUGAGGAGCGAAAGCGUGGGGAGCGAACAGG